rnacentral:rRNA from 1 species
UACGGGGGGGGGUAAGCGUUGUUCGGAAUUACUGGGCGUAAAGGGCUCGUAGGCGGCCAACUAAGUCAGACGUGAAAUCCCUCAGCUUAACUGGGGAACUGCGUCUGAUACUGGAUGGCUUGGAUUCGGGAGAGGAAUGCGGAAUUCCAGGUGUAGCGGUGAAAUGCGUAGAUAUCAGGAGGAACACCGGUGGCGAAGGCGGUUCUCUGGGCCUGUACUGACGCUGAGGAACGAAAGCGUGGGGAGCGAACAGG